rnacentral:tRNA from 1 species
AAAACAUGAAACCCAAGAAAAAGCUUCUAACUUCUUUCUUAAGCGGCGCACCACCGUUUAUGUUUUA